AGCUCCGGUAGCUUAGUGGUUAGAGCGUCCGACUAGGAUACUGGAGGUCGCGGGCUCGCACCCAGGCCGAGUCA